CCCCGGAUGUGGGGGGCGGGGAAAGGGGUCACCCCCGCCCACUGCGUGCCAACCUGAGCCCCGCCCGGGGUCUCGGCUCCAGCUUAAGCCUUCCCGCCGAGAUGUUGCGCGGCGGUGGCGCCUGAGCUCCCUGCUGGUUGCGCUCUGCGUCGCGGGCGCCCGAUGUGCGCCAGCUCGGACCCGGACCAGUCCGCAGCCCGAAGCGUGGCCGAUGCUCCCAGAGGGCACCCAGCCCGUCCCGCUCCUCCGCCGCCGUCUCCUCUCCUCCUGCCUCGCCCGCCCGUCUUGGUUUCCAGAACCCGACAGCUUCGGAAGAGGCGCGUUCCGUCCAUCACCUCCUUGAUUCUCGCCGCCUCCUCUUAGGUCUGCUCAUGGAGGAGAUUGCUGAUCAGAAGGGUGAGGUCCAAGGAGGUUAAUAGGACUUCCCUGGUGGCACAGUGGUUAAGAAUCUGCCUGCCAAUGCAAGGGGACACGGGUGCGAGCCUUGGUCCAGGAAGAUCCCACAUGCCAUGGAGCAACUAAGCCCGUGCGCCACAACUACUGAGUCUGUGCUCUAGAGCCCGCGAGCCACAACUACUGAGCCCACGUGCCUAGAGCCCGUGCUCCGCAACAAGAGAAGCCACUGCAGUGAGAGGCAUGCGCACCACGACGAGGAAUAGCCUCCGCUCACCGCAGCUAGAGAAAGCCCGUGUGCAGCAACAAAGACCCAACGCAGCCAAAAAUAAUAAAUAAAUUUUAAAAACAGGUCAAUAAAUAAGGCCUAGCUCUUAGGUGAAGGCCUACAUGAAAUAAA